UACGUAGGGACCAAGCGUUGUUCGGAUUUACUGGGCGUAAAGAGCGCGCAGGCGGCUUGGCAAGUCGGGUGUGAAAUCCCGGGGCUCAACCCCGGGACUGCAUUCGAUACUGUCAGGCUAGAGGUAGGUAGGGGAGAUCGGAAUUCCUGGUGUAGCGGUGAAAUGCGCAGAUAUCAGGAGGAACACCGGUGGCGAAGGCGGAUCUCUGGGCCUUACCUGACGCUCAGGCGCGAAAGCUAGGGGAGCGAACAGG
rnacentral:rRNA from 1 species